GGUCUCUUUUAUUCAAAACCUUGUAUUUUGUGUAGAAAGAGUUUACCGUGUGCCUGAUUUUGGUGUCUGGGAAAGAGGAAGCAAAUAUAAUAAUGGCAGCACAGAGCUACAUUCGAGCUCUGUUGGCUUAGCAAAAGCAGCUCUAGAAGCAAUUAAUGGAUUCAACCUCUUUGGCAACCAGGGCUGUUCUUGGUCGGUUAUAUUUGUGGAUCUCGAUGCUCACAAUCGCAAUAGGCAUACUUUGUGCUCACUCUUACCCAGAGAAUCAAGAUCUCAUAACACAGAUGCUGCCCUGCUCCCCUGCAUCACUUAUCCUGCAUUUGCCCUGGAUGAUGAAGUUCUGUUUAGCCAGACACUUGAUAAAGUGGUUAGAAAAUUAAAAGGAAAAUAUGGAUUUAAACGUUUCUUGAAAGAUGGAUAUAGAACAUCACUGGAAGAUCCCAACAGACGCUACUACAAACCAGCUGAAAUGAAGCUAUUUGAUGGCAUUGAGUGUGAAUUUCCCAUAUUUUUCCUUUACAUGAUGAUUGAUGGAGUUUUUAGAGGCAACCCC